GAUGAACGCUGGCGGCGUGCUUAACACAUGCAAGUCGAACGAUUAAGACGGCUUCGGCCGUGUAUAGAGUGGCGAACGGGUGAGUAACACGUGACCAACCUGCCCCGCGCUCCGGGACAACCGCUGGAAACGGCGGCUAAUACCGGAUGCUCCGGGGAGGCCCCAUGGCCUCCCCGGGAAAGCCCUGACGGCGCGGGAUGGGGUCGCGGCCCAUUAGGUAGACGGCGGGGUAACGGCCCACCGUGCCCGCGAUGGGUAGCCGGGUUGAGAGACCGACCGGCCAGAUUGGGACUGAGACACGGCCCAGACUCCUACGGGAGGCAGCAGUGGGGAAUCUUGCGCAAUGGGGGGAACCCUGACGCAGCGACGCCGCGUGCGGGACGAAGGCCUUCGGGUUGUAAACCGCUUUCAGCAGGGAAGACAUAGACGGUAC
rnacentral:rRNA from 1 species